rnacentral:lncRNA from 1 species
CGGGGAGCCGGAGCCUCUCCGGGGCAGGCUCCCCUUUGUCCCGGGACUCGAAGCGCCCCCUCUCCGUCCUCGCCCUGCCCCGCGGGGCCGCGGCCGGGCGCCUCACCGUGAUGUUGCAGUGGAGCGUGAGUGGCGGCGGCAGCGAGUGCGGGCUGCCCUGCUGCGGCACCAGGAACUGGCAGUGCAGCUCGUCCAGCUUCCAACUGACGAUGCGGAAUCGCUCGUGGUUCUUGUCGAAGAUGGACGCCAGGAACUUCAGCUCGGCCUUGAGCCCUGACACGGACAUCUUCCCCUCAUCUCCGGCGGGAGGGGCGCGGAAGGGGAGCCGGGCGCGGAAGGGGAGCCGGGCCCGGAGCCGCCGUCACGGCCGCGACCGCCCCGCGGGGCCGGCCUGGGCCGCGCUCUCGCGGCUCCGCCUCGUCGAGCGCUGCUGGAAAAUGGCGAGGGGCGCGGAAGCCUCGGCGUGUGGCGGCCUGGGUGGCGCUUCCUUUGUAACCGACUCCAGCGGCAGGAGGCGGCGGCCCCGCGGCUUAAAAGGGCAACAGCGACGCCGCCCCCGCUACCGCCUGGGAAAGGGCUGCCCCCACCCCGCCCCCGUCCCCCUCACCCUGGCGCGCCCUGCGCGCUCCGGUUUCAGCGCGUGCACGAGGCCAGAGCGCGCGCGCCCGGCCGCCCCCUCCUCGCCUUGACCCAGCUCCCUUGUUCCCGACCCAUCUGCUCCGUUCUUCGCACCCGCGGACUGGAGGCUCGGGGCCAGCUGGCGCCCGGGCCCCAGAAGUCGGGGAGGAGCCGGAGACCCCCGCGCGCCCCCGCCCCCGGCCUGGAGCCGGACACGUGCGUGGCGGAUCGCGCCGGCCACGUCGGCGCCGCUGCAGACUAGCGCCAGCCCCUGGGGGCGGCUCCUCAGCUUGGCGCUCGGCGCGGCACCCGCUAACCUCACUGGGGGGACCUCGUGGGAGACGCGGGUGCGGCUCACCCAGCGUUACCUCCGCUACUUUCACCCUAGUCCGAGCCACCGCUUCGCUAGCCUGGGUUCCUGUGAGGACCUUCUCACCAGCCUGGGUUCCUGUGAGGACCUUCUCACCGGACUCGCUGCUCCCGCCUUUGCUCUCAAACCAUCCAUUUACCCAAGACGAUGGUUUAGCCCCUGGAGGCUGUUGCCUGGAGGUGUCCCAUGAUUUCAUCCCUUCCCUUAGCUACCACCUGUGUUCACUCUGCCGUAUAUAGUCUCUCUCUCCCCCCUUUCCUUAUUUUGCCUUGUUUCCCAAGCUUAAGAUAACCCUCCCCACCCACACCCCCAUGGAGCUAGGGCUGCCCACUAUUUUCACUAAACUCAUAGCUCAAAUAUCAUCUCCGGCACCCCCCACCACAACCCAUUUCAAAUAGUCACCCUGUGUCACAUCGUCCUGUGCUAAGUUUUUGUUGGGCACCUGUCACUAUCUGAUCUUUAACCCAUUUAUUCCUUGUCUCUGCCCCGUGUUAAUGUGUUCAGAGCUGUAUCCCCAGGACCUAGAACAAGACCUGUUAUAUAGUAGAAACCCGAUAUGAUUGAAUUGAAUGCUCGCUCUUAUCUGGAAUCCCCACCACUAGCACAAUUCCUGGCACAUUGUAGGUGCUCAAAAAAUGAAUAAAGGUCUGGAUAGCAGUCCAAAGGAAUACAUCCCAAUUUGGCAGACAAUAGUGUGUGCAAUCGUAAGUGCAAGAGGCAGGACCAGCUGCAUAUGCGUCCAACCUAUGUAGUUGCACAGUGCUCCCAGCUUAGAAGGGCUUCGAGCUUGGUUUAAUAUUCUGGUGUCGCCAUUUUGAAAUUCGUAAUUUUUCAGAAAGGGGCUCCGCAUUUUCCUUUUCCAGUCUUACCUAGAGUUACCCAACCCUGACACCUGUCUCUUUCUUCCUAAUCUACAAGAGAUCCCUGGGCUACUGGUCCCCUUAGAUGACAAAAUACAGAACAACACAGGGACACAUUAAGUCUACUGAAAGUUUUUAUUUCCAUCUACUUCUGAGAUUUUGUAUCAUGUUAUAGUCCUUAGCCUUUAAGAAGACAAAUAAACUUUUCCAAUUUACCUCAGUAAGUUAGUAGCUCCCCACAGCCUACAAAUUCAGUCUCUUAUCAUUCAAACCAGCCCUAACUUUUCCUGGCCAUGCCCCAACUUCUACCAUCUUCUACCCCAACUUCUAUCUAGCCUUUAAGAAGACUAAGAUUCUCACAGACCCCUUUGAGAAUCUAAUAAAAGCUAUGAUCCAUCUUCCCAGGAAAAUACUUCUGCAUCUAAAAUUUUGUACUUAUGGGGAUUCAUGACCCCAGCACUAGAGCUACCACACUAUACACUGGGACUGGGAGAAGAAGGGGUUCCAGGCCUGGGUUCUGAGCCAGAAACAACUAGGCUACUGUAUUAGCAUUAUUGCUGGGUUAAG